AGAGUUUGAUCCUGGCUCAGAUUGAACGCUGGCGGAAUGCUUUACACAUGCAAGUCGAACGGCAGCACGGGGGCAACCCUGGUGGCGAGUGGCGAACGGGUGAGUAAUACAUCGGAACGUGCCCAGUCGUGGGGGAUAACUACGCGAAAGCGUAGCUAAUACCGCAUACGAACUCAGGUUGAAAGCGGGGGAUCGCAAGACCUCGCGCGAUUGGAGCGGCCGAUGGCAGAUUAGGUAGUUGGUGGGGUAAAGGCCUACCAAGCCGACGAUCUGUAGCUGGUCUGAGAGGACGACCAGCCACACUGGGACUGAGACACGGCCCAGACUCCUACGGGAGGCAGCAGUGGGGAAUUUUGGACAAUGGGCGCAAGCCUGAUCCAGCCAUUCCGCGUGCAGGAUGAAGGCCCUCGGGUUGUAAACUGCUUUUGUACGGAACGAAACGCGUUGAGCUAAUACCUCGACGUAAUGACGGUACCGUAAGAAUAAGCACCGGCUAACUACGUGCCAGCAGCCGCGGUAAUACGUAGGGUGCGAGCGUUAAUCGGAAUUACUGGGCGUAAAGCGUGCGCAGGCGGUGAUGUAAGACAGGUGUGAAAUCCCAGGGCUUAACCUUGGAACUGCAUUUGUGACUGCAUCGCUGGAGUGCG
rnacentral:rRNA from 1 species